GGCUCUGGGGUGACAGCAGGCUGAGGUCACAGCAGGCUCUGAGGUCACAGAGGUGCCAGGGCCCCGUGGUUGCACAGCACCACAGCCAGCGAGCAGUCAGUCCUUGGGCACAGCUGUUGCGGCAGCAGCGGCGGCGGCGGCGGCAGCGGUGCUGACAUUGGGACAGCGGUGGCAGCACAGCGGUGGCAGCAAGAGCUGCGGGACUGGCAGAGGGCAAGGCACCAUGGCCCUUGCUCUGCGCCUCUUCCUCCUGCUCCUCCUGGCAGUGGCCCUGCCUGCCAGGGCUGCCCAGGCAGCUCCGUGGCCAGCGCGGGGAGCAGACUGGGAUGGCGACUUGGAAUAUUCGGAAUUCCUGGUGAAUGACAUUUUGAAGAUCUUGGACAAGGCUCGAGGCAAGUAUUGAAUUGCCCUUGCUACUGACAGAAUAAUCUGUCAAGCUGGCA
rnacentral:lncRNA from 12 species